UUGCCACACCAUCCCUUAUUACACAAUCGUUGCGCAUUUGCCUGUUUUUCUUGCAUGGGGCCUAGUGCCUGAAGAGCCUCUAGCCCUCUGGCUGUUAUGUUGACCUCAGUAGCUGAACUUACCUUUUCUGGACUUGAUGUAGGAGGAAAAAAGCACAUAAAAUACAAAUCUUUCUACAUCAAAGUGGCAGCAGAGGAGUUAGAGUUCUAAAUAUUCUCUGAUUUGGAAUGGUGUUCCACUAGCAUGAAACCAACACUUCAUCAAAGUGGCCUGCUUCAAUCGAGGCUGUCCCGGCGAGAUAUAAAUUAUAAAUCAUAUCUUCUGUUUUACAUGGGAAAUGGGAGCUUGCAGGUGGAUCGUCUUUCAACAGAUGGGCUUAAGUUCCUUGGCUGUUCCUCUGCCAGAAUCUGCACCUGUCAGACACAUAUCCUGAAGACCUAUACGCCUGAGUCUCUCAACAGCAGUAACCUCCAAGAGGACAACGACUGUGUGAUUAGUGCUGUGCCUAAACAGCCCAGUUCUUUUCUCCUCCCAGCACACAGUAUGACUGCAUUUGCAUUUCCCCCUUAACACGAGGAACAGGCAAUGAAAUGAAUUAGGAACAGGGAGUGGCAUGUCACUUCUGGGAUAAAGCUUUCUGAACAAGUGCACAAUUUACCAUGUCCUUUUUCCACUGCUGCAGAAAUAUAGAAGCACCUAUUGAAUGUGGGUCUCUGAAUGACUUGGAAGUAAAUCCUCCUGAUGACCAGAGAUGGACCUGUAAAAUGAAAGGCAAAUCAGCUCACUGUUUUACUUUUCUGAACUUUCUGGUUACUGCAGCAGGGCCCAGCCUCUCCUGACUAAUACAUAUGACUUACUUGCUUUUCCAGUUUCUUGGAACCAUAAUCAUACCUCACAAAUAGUGGGUCCUCAAUAUUAAUUGAAUUAAUAAAUGAAUGCAAACUGAGUUCUUACCUUCAAAAGAAGCAGCAGUAAUGUGAAUAAACAGAGUAGAAGGGAUCAGCUGGGAGUAAAGAUUAUACCAAGGAUAGAUAGACACAGGAGUAGACGGUCCGGUCUUUUUCAAUUCUAUCUCAUUGGCGGACUUAAGCUAUUCCUCUCAGUAUAUUUAUUUUAGCAGUGCCUUAAAGUUGAAAAAAGAAUGAAAAAGGAAAAGCAGAAGAAAGAAUUAACAUUUGCUACUAAGAGAAGAUGAAGCAAAGUGGUGUACACAACAUUUUUUUCCCUAUUUUUUUCUCAAAGCUUAACUGAAUGUGCUAAUUUACCUGCUACCCACUGCUCUUAUCUAGUCAUGUAUUCAAGUUACUUAUUCCACAAAAUCUUAUUAAAUAGUUACUGGGUUCCAGCUCCUUGAUUAGGUACCAGGGGUAGGCUAUGAUGUGAUCUAUUCUUUUAUUUAUUAUUAAGUUUAUUGGUACAUUUUAGGUAUACAGUGUGAUGACAUUCAUCAUUGAGAAUUUGUACCUUCACAUGACCUAUUGUGGUUCUUAUUUUUCCCCCAUUCCUCUGCCCUCUCUUCACCCCCUCCACCCCUCCUUAUUACAAAGACUUUGGUCCCAUUUUUUCCUUUUCUCAUAUUUAUUCCUUUCCCCUCUCCCUCCCACUUCCCCUUUCCCUUUGGAUCUUUUCUUCCUAUUUCACAUUAUCUAUUAUACAUUUUGAUCCUAAUUUACACUUUCAGCUUCUCACACCAGAGAAACUACACAUGUGAGACCUAUUUAUUUUACUUAAGAAUAUGGCCUCACUGAGUGAUCUAUUCUUUUAAGAUAUUCACAAUUGCAUAAGGAAAAGGAUCCAAAGUAAGUGUUGAGCAGCUAGCACCAAGAUGGCUGCAGGAAUCCACCCCAUACAGCAUGAAGCACCCAUCCGCUUCCUCCACCACCGGUCACUCCUUCAUUCCAUAGUGCUCCAAAGCCUUUUGAGCUCCUUUCCCAUCCUCAACCCAUUAGACUAGCACAGCAGCUCACUGGGGAGGGAAGCGGGUGUUGUCAUCACCAUUUGCAAGGUGAGGAUACAGAAGCCCUGAGGAAAGGAGACACUCAGCUGGAGUCGGUGUCAGAGCGGAGUGGUGAUCUUGUGAUCAGAGAUGCUCUAUACAGAGGAGGUGGGCAAUGCCACUUCCAGACAAGAAAACUGGUCCAGAGCAGAUCAGUGACUUCCUCACUUGGUGAAGGUCAUUUGGUGAAUGAGUAUCAAAAUAAAGACUAGAAUUACUUAUAAAACAGAAAAUAACAAAUGUUAACAAAUAUGUGGACCGAUUGGAACCUUGCUCUAUGCUAGUGGAAAUGUAAGGUGAUGCAGGCUCUGUAGAAAAUAGUAUGGUGAUUGCACACACACAAAAAAUAAAUGUAACAUCAUUACAUAAUCAAAAUUGUCAGAGGUGGAAGCAACCUAAGAGUCCAUGACAGAUGAGUUGACGAGCGAGUGGUGGUGUCUAAAUACCACAGAAUAUCAUUCAGCUUUAAAAGACAAAAUUCUAGCGUACACUGCGACAUGGAUGAACAUGGGGGACAUUAGGGAAAUGCAAGUCAAAACCACAAAUGAUAUACCACUUUGAAAUCCAUUUCAAAAGACGAUCCUAGGUGUUAGGCACAAACAGGAGGCAAGGUAUGGGCUAAGUCUGCUAAAUAUCCAGUAGGAUGCUCAUUGUUUGAAAAGAAAAACCCAGAAAAUAACAAGUGUUGGCAUUGUAGCCAUUUCCGCAGAAAUUGGAAUAUUUGUGCAUUGCACGGAAGAAUGUAAAAUGGUGAGGCUAAUGUGGGAAACACAAAGUGCUUCCUGGAAAUUUUAAAUUUACAGAUACCACAUGAUCCAGCAACUCCACUUCUGAGUAUAGAACCAAAACAAUCCAAAGAGAGGACUCUGGCACCUUAUUAGUACAUCCAUGUUUGCAGCAGUACUAUUCACAGCAGGCAAAGGGUAGGCACAACCAAAUAUUCAUCAACAGGUGAACAAACAAAAUUUGGUCUAUACAGCCAAUGACAUGUCAGUAAGUCUUAAAAGAGAAGGAAAUUCUAGAACAUGGAUGUAAGUACAUUAUAUCAAGUAAAAUAGACCAUUUACAAAAAGACAAAUAUUGUAUGAUUGCAGGAAUAUGUGCUAGGGAGUCAAACUCAUAGAAACAAAGUAUAAUGAGGAUUUCCAAGAACCAUGGGGAGGAAGGAUGGAGAUUAUUAUUUAGCGGUGCACACUUUCAAGUUGGGAAGAUGAAAAAACAUGGGGAGAUGGAUGGUGGUGAUUAGCUGCUGUGAAUGAACUAAGCUGUAGGCUUAAAUAUGGACACAGUGCUCAAUUUUGCAAAAGGGAAAAACAUAAAGACUCCAUUAUAGCUCUUUAGGUCUUCAAACUUCCACAACGUAUAGGUCAAGCCACACUCACUGUUCAAAAAGCUAAGCUUUAAUUGACUAGUUAAAAAAUCUUC
rnacentral:lncRNA from 1 species